GAGGAAAAGAAACUAACAAGGAUUCCCCUAGUAGCGGCGAGCGAAGCGGGAAGAGCUCAAAUUUAUAAUCUGGCACCUUCGGUGUCCGAGUUGUAAUCUCUAGAAAUGUUUUCCGCGUUGGACCGCACACAAGUCUGUUGGAAUACAGCGGCAUAGUGGUGAGACCCCCGUAUAUGGUGCGGACGCCCAGCGCUUUGUGAUACAUUUUCGAAGAGUCGAGUUGUUUGGGAAUGCAGCUCAAAUUGGGUGGUAAAUUCCAUCUAAAGCUAAAUAUUGGCGAGAGACCGAUAGCGAACAAGUACCGUGAGGGAAAGAUGAAAAGCACUUUGGAAAGAGAGUUAACAGUACGUGAAAUUGUUGGAAGGGAAACGCUUGAAGUCAGACUUGCUUGCCGAGCAAUCGGUUUGCAGGCCAGCAUCAGUUUUCCGGGAUGGAUAAUGGUAGAGAGAAGGUAGCAGUUUCGGCUGUGUUAUAGCUCUCUGCUGGAUACAUCUUGGGGGACUGAGGAACGCAGUGUGCCUUUUGGCGGGGGUUUCGACCUCUUCACACUUAGGAUGCUGGUGGAAUGGCUUUAAACGACCCGUCUUG
rnacentral:rRNA from 1 species